GACAGAGGGUGCAAACGUUGUUCGGAAUUACUGGGCGUAAAGCGUGUGUAGGCGGCCUUGCAAGUCGGAUGUGAAAGCCCCGGGCUCAACCCGGGAAGUGCACCCGAUACUGCUAGGCUCGAGUACCGGAGAGGUUGGUGGAAUUCUCGGUGUAGAGGUGAAAUUCGUAGAUAUCGAGAGGAACACCGGUGGCGAAGGCGGCAUCCUGGACCGGUAUUGACGCUGAGGCGCGAAAGCCAGGGGAGCAAACGGG
rnacentral:rRNA from 1 species